rnacentral:rRNA from 1 species
CUACGGGCGGCUGCAGUGGGGAAUAUUGCACAAUGGGCGCAAGCCUGAUGCAGCCAUGCCGCGUGUAUGAAGAAGGCCUUCGGGUUAUAAAGUACUUUCAGCGGGGAGGAAGGGAGUAAAGUUAAUACCUUUGCUCAUUGACGUUACCCGCAGAAGAAGCACCGGCUAACUCCGUGCCAGCAGCCGCGGUAAUACGGAGGGUGCAAGUGUUAAUCGGAAUUACUGGGCGUAAAGCGCACGCAGGCGGUUUGUUAAGUCAGAUGUGAAAUCCCCGGGCUCAACCUGGGAACUGCAUCUGAUACUGGCAAGCUUGAGUCUCGUAGAGGGGGGUAGAAUUCCAGGUGUAGCGGUGAAAUGCGUAGAGAUCUGGAGGAAUACCGGUGGCGAAGGCGGCCCCCUGGACGAAGACUGACGCUCAGGUGCGAAAGCGUGGGGAGCAAACAGGAUUAGAUACCCGGGUAGUC